AGAAACAUGCCUUACGUUAUCUCCCGAUGAACAGGAUGGAACUGUUUCAAGAACUGCAGGACAAAAAAACCUACCCACCUACCAACGCCGAGCACCUGUUUGAAACCACCUGUUCUCGGAUACUGCAAUCCACUGCUCGAAGCUUGGUAUUAUGACCAUAACAAGAGGAGCUGCACGAAAGUGAACCCAUCACUUUGUGGCAGUGGCAAAAACCUUUU